GAUGAACGCUAGCUACAGGCUUAACACAUGCAAGUCGAGGGGAAACGAUAGAGAAAGCUUGCUCUUUCUAGGCGUCGACCGGCGCACGGGUGAGUAACGCGUAUCCAACCUGCCCAUCACUUGGGGAUAACCUUGCGAAAGUAAGACUAAUACCCAAUGAUAUCUCUAGAAGACAUCUGAAAGGGAUUAAAGAUUUAUCGGUGAUGGAUGGGGAUGCGCCUGAUUAGCUUGUUGGCGGGGUAACGGCCCACCAAGGCGACGAUCAGUAGGGGUUCUGAGAGGAAGGUCCCCCACAUUGGAACUGAGACACGGUCCAAACUCCUACGGGAGGCAGCAGUGAGGAAUAUUGGUCAAUGGGCGAGAGCCUGAACCAGCCAAGUAGCGUGCAGGAUGACGGCCCUAUGGGUUGUAAACUGCUUUUAUAAGGGAAUAAAGUGAGUCUCGUGAGACUUUUUGCAUGUACCUUAUGAAUAAGGACCGGCUAAUUCCGUGCCAGCCGCCGCGGUAA
rnacentral:rRNA from 1 species